rnacentral:misc_RNA from 1 species
ACUGCCACCAAGAAUUCGUCCUCUGGCGUUUGGGACACCUUCCUCAGAUAUGAAGGCUUGUGCUGGAGAAUCAAAUGUAUCAACUUCUGUCAGUGUGGUCAGGAAUCCUUCUUGGGUCAUCAAAUUGGGAUUACCAUGAGCAACCCCACCUCGUUCAAGAAGAAGAACUCGAUAGGACUCUGACAAAGAGGCAGCCAAUGGGCAACCGGCGGUGCCACCUCCAACCACAAUGGAAUCG